AUCAGCUAAAUACAGUUUUAAAUUAGAGUGCUAUCAUCCCAAUUUUUUCGAGUUUUUGCCACCAUAUAGCAGUGUAGUAUUGAGAUAGGGGAUAUGUGUCUGCCUUGCUUGUAUAGGUCCUCUGUGCUGCUUAUGUCACAGUGACCUUAAUGACCAACCAAGUACAGAAUUCAAAAAAAAAAAAAAAAACAUAACAACCACAGGGGAUAACAAAAAGAUACCUAUCUCAGGUCUUACCCCUUAGAAGAACCUCCACCCAAGGAGCUCCAUGAACGUGUUUAGGUCAUGCCACUGUUAGCAGGAGGCCAAGGCAGUGCAGAGAAGAGGCUAUGGAAGGUCCACGCCAGUUCACCUGGACCUCUUGAGAUGCAUCCACUCCUUAGCCUCCAGUUUCUUACCCUUCCUUGUAAUCGUUUGCUCAUCUUUGCUCAUGACUUUCUGCAAUUACUGCACUGCCGAAAUUUACUGCUGACACUGAAACUUGAUCCAGCGUGGCCUUCAUAACCCUAACCAAAGUGGAUGCUUGUUCUGUAGGGGGCAAGCCCUCGGCUGCCCUUGUCCUAGAACUCAUGUGUACACCAGCUCUCUGGAUGCUUCUCUGUGUUGUCAUCUCAAUUGGCGUUUAUUAAUAAAGCAUUUAUUAACUCAAAACA